rnacentral:misc_RNA from 1 species
GUUGCUCUGUGCGCAUGGAGUGUGGACGAGCAAAGUAUUUGUGACUUCAAAGAAGUGAUGCAGAGAGCAUUUGCUGAACAGUGAUAGAAAAGGGGGAAAAUGGGCAUUUUGUUCACUCGAAUGUUUUCUUCUUUGUUCGGCAAUAGAGAAGCUCGAAUCCUUGUGCUAGGCCUCGACAAUGCUGGAAAAACCACCAUCCUCUAUCGGCUUCAAAUGGGCGAAGUAGUCUCCACGAUCCCAACAAUUGGAUUCAAUGUGGAAACUGUACAGUAUAACAAUAUUAAGUUCCAGGUCUGGGAUUUGGGUAAGUAGCAACUCUUUUUACCCUAUAACAACCCAUCAAUCUCUUUAUAAUCUAUAUGCUCUGUUACAGUUGAUUUACCAUAUAAUAAAGGAAACUGGCGUUCACUGUAUUAAAGUAACAACAAGUAUUUAAGUAAUGAAAAAUUCAAAGUGAUCUUAAUUUAGUGCUCUUGUUUGGUAAUCUUUGUUGCACAUUAGCCAUUAGGUUUUGUGUAGGUGUAAGGUCGGCAAUAAUGUUCCUCAUUCUUAUCAUUUAGAUUUUUAACUAAUAAAUAAUUAAAUAUACAUUUGAUCAGUGGGAAGUCCCAGUUUAGCUGGCUUUGGGUUUUUGUGUUUAGACAUUAUGGAUUUUUUCUGUGAUCACUCUAAAUUAAAUUGGUUUGUGGAUUUUUGAAACAGGUGGGCAGACAAGCAUCAGGUAACCUUGUUACUUCAUUCUGAUUCUUCCUUUUGGAGUGGACUAAAGUUUGUAACCUGUUUUCUAGCAGAAAUCUUAUAAUUGAACAGUUUCUCAUAUGCCUUUGUAAACUUAUCAAAUAAUAUUUCCAUUAAUGAUGGAGAUAAGAUUUUCCCUGCAUUUGUGGAUAUGCUUCUUUGCUUAAUCGUGUCAACCUGUUGGAUUCAUAUGGAAGCUUAUAGCUGCUACUGUCAUUUUCGAAACACAUAGUUUGGGCAACUUCUUCUGAACUUCUAUUCAUAACACAAUAUUUAUGCUGAAUGUAUGUGAAUUUCGUCCUUCAAAGGUUUUACUCUUCAUUAGUUACUUAAUAGUUUAGGGCACUUUUAUAUAAGUAUAGUCGCUAACUACCAGCAUGAUGUUAGUUGUGAUAAUGACAGUGCAACUGAAAGUAUGCUUUAGGGUAAAGUAUUAUCUAAUCAUAAUGUCUGGUGUUUGUUGUGAUACUCAUUUUAUUGCCAUUAUAAGGCAAACUAGAAGUGUAUCACUUUAUUUAUAAACAUUGAUACUUAAUAGUUAAUACUUUAGAAGGACUGUAAGUGUUGAACUAAUGUACCACACAAUAAUGAGUUUCUAUAGAUCUUGGUGUCCCUCAAGAACAAAAUGCCUCAAGGGAAAGUCGCUAGAGGGUAUGCAUCGAUUUUUUCUUUAUGAAAUAAGUGUGCAAAAUGUAAAUAAGUAGUGUUUUGAAUAAGAUUAUGGUUUUUGCAAUGAUUGCAUUCAGAUCAUUUAGUUUUUGGCUACUAUCAGGUAUUGCAUUCCAGGGUACAAAAAUUAGGAUCUGUAGAGAAGCAUAAGGUGUACCUCUGCCUUAGCACCCUUUUGUGCAAUUUUAAUAAGCUUGCAUUUAUAGAAGUGUUCAUGUUAACUAGAAAAUGGUAGAAACAUUAAAGUGGAGCUGUAGUAAUGGGCCAACUUUAGGUUUAAAUCUCACUAACAAAAUUAAAAUUAAAAGAUUAGAGGAGAUACAUUGCAUCUUUUGUUGAAAACAGAAAAGUUAGAACUCCUUUUUUUCCAUUUUAAUUUUGGACACAUUCUGCAUUCAUUUUAGUUAUCAGAGCCUUUAGUCUCUGUACAUAACAGGUGUACGUGUACCAGAAUGACUAAUGAGGGGGAGAAUCCUAAUAUUUCCGGGGUUGUUGCUGUUGUUGUUAGAGCAGCUGUUGUAAUCAUGAUCACUAUUGAUAGUAGUAAUUUUUUGUGCAUUUAGUUGGCCAUUAUGCAUAAAGAAUGUGAUUUGGUGCUUCUUUUUUGUCCUGUGUUGAACAGUACGAUUAUAGUGGUGGAAUGAUUACAUUUGAUGAAUUUUCAAGUUCCUUUUGGGUGCCCAUGUUGGCUGUUCUUCUUGUGUGGUCACCCUACCUUGAUUGCUUCUAGAGAAAGUUGGCAUUCUUUUCCUUGUUAACUCCUUGUUGCUUCCUUUUGGGGUAAAUUUGUCUGUUUAUUUCAGGCCA